rfam:Marinobacter sp. ELB17 1101232001194, whole genome shotgun sequence.
CAACCCGCGAGGCGCGGUCUGGAGGAAGCCGCUGGCAAAGCUGCGAGCUGAUGAAUAAGAACAUCAUAUGAGGCGUAAGCCGGAGGUGAGUUGGCACAAGACGACGAAGCCGCGUGAUCUGACGGCCACCGUAAAUGAUGCAGUUGUGCGGUGAAAGUUCAUGCU